rnacentral:snRNA from 1 species
GAAAUUGAGAACUUAUCUGAUAAUGAAGUCAGAUCACCAGGGAUUAAUUGGCUGAUCUGGCUAGCUAGGUGGGUGUUGCCUUUCACCCUCACUGCUCCAUGUGCAUCCCUCCUGAAGCUGUGUGCUUAGUCCAAUAGAGGAGGACCGUACUUUGGUCACGGAUAUGCAAGUAGGUGAGCUCCCCUGCUAGAACCUCCAAACAAGCUCUCAGGGUCCCUCCUCUGAUUCUUACAAAAAUAUUCUCAGGAUUAUAGGCUGAUUUAGAUUUAGUAAUCAUAAAAAUCAGGAAGAAAAUACUGGACCAUUAACAUAAUCCUUU